UAUAGACAUUUUAACAAACAUUCAUUCUUCUAAUUCAUGGGCCUGGAAUGUCUUUCCAUUUCUUUGUGUCAUCUUCAAUUACUUUCAUCCAUGUUUUAUAGUUCUCAGAGUAUAGAUUUUCACCUGUAUGCUUUAUCUUUGGUAUCUUAUUAUUUUUAGUGCAAUUGUAAAUGGGAUUGUUUUCUUAAUUCUCUUUCUGCUACUUCAUUCGUUUGGUGUAUAGAAAUGCAACAGAUUUCUGCAUAUUGAUUUUGUAUCCUGCAACUUUACUGAAUUCCUUUAUCAGUUCUAGCAGAAAGCUACCCAAAUUCAGAGAAAGAUGAACCUACAGAUUCAAGAAGCUCAAUGAAUCCCAAAUAGGAUAAACUUAAUGAACUCCAUACCCAGAAAUAUCAUAAUCAAAAUGCUAAAAACUAAAACAAAGAAAAGAUGUUGAAAGUAGCCAGAGAAAAAUAAUUACCUGUACAGAAAAACUGUCUGUUUUGAAAUAAUAUAAUAUUUGUAGAGAAUUGCCAAGAUAGUACAGAGUGUUCCCAUAAAGAGUUCACCCAGUUCCUUCUAAUGUUAACCCAAGGAGAUCAUGAAGGAACUCUCUGGGUGACCAGAUUUCAGAGAAAGGAGGAGCAACAGGCCAUCUUGGCAUAGGGAUCCAGGAUCUGGUGCUCAGAAGAAACCAGAUGUUCCAUGAGGUUCAAACCCACACAGAAAGGAUCCCUCCAUUCAGCCAACUCCAUUCUUAUGCAGAAAUUCCUACACAACUAUAAAGCAUGCUUGUUCUGGUGCUCCUUGCCUUGGCAGAUGUUCAAGGCAUUCUCUUGAUUAACUCUCCCCCCUCAAAGAGUGGCUGCUGACCCAGGCUCUUCCUUCAGAGGUCAGAUGUGACAGAGAAGUCCUAGGGUGCAGUUUCUGAAAGGAGGAUAUCCUGUUCUUUCCUUCUUCUAGAAAAAGAGAACAAACCUCCCUUGAAAUUCACCAUACCAUGGGACUUCCUUGGUCCAGUACGUCCAAAGUUGGCAAUAAAAAAUGUCUUCAGGAAGUGCUGUAUUCAAUCUCCUGUCCACAAAACCAGAAAACAGAAGCGAAUCAUAUUCUAAGUAUAACCUACCUUCCAAAAAGCAGAGUUCUGAAGAUACAGAACUAACACAAGAUAGUGCAUGGUAUUUUCAUUGUUGUUAAUUAGCAAAUUUCUUCUACUGAUCCAGAAACAGUAAUCCUACAGCUGCUCAAAUGGAAGUUUGCCUGGAAUUGUACUACUUACCAUCGUGCUUAAUAAACGUAUUUACUCAAAAGUAAAUUUCAUGAAUAAAUUGUUAACUUUUCUA